CAAGUCGAACGAUGAAGUUCCUUCGGGAAUGGAUUAGUGGCGAGCGGGUGAGGAACACGUGAGAAACCUGCCUUUCAUUCUGGGAUAACACCGGGAAACCGGUGCUAAUACCGGAUACUCCAUCUUGGCGGCAUCGCCGAGCUGGGAAAAAAUCUUGAUGAAAGAUGGUCUCGCGGCCUAUCAGCUAGUUGGUGAGGUAAAGGCUCACCAAGGCGACGACGGGUAGCCGGCCUGAGAGGGCGACCGGCCACACUGGGACUGAGACACGGCCCAGACUCCUACGGGAGGCAGCAGUAGGGAAUAUUGGGCAAUGGGCGAAAGCCUGACCCAGCGACGCCGCGUGAGGGAUGAAGGUCUUCGGAUUGUAAACCUCUUUCAGUAGGGAAGAAGCGAAAGUGACGGUACCUAAAGAAGAAGCACCGGCUAACUAUGUGCCAGCAGCCGCGGUAAUACAUAGGGUGCAAGCGUUGUCCGGAAUUAUUGGGCGUAAAGAGCUCGUAGGUCGUUUGUCGCGUCGAUUGUGAAAAUCUGAGGCUCAACCUCAGACCUGCAGUCGAUACGGGCAAACUAGAGUGUGGUAGGGGAGACUGGAAUUCCUGGUGUAGCGGUGGAAUGCGCAGAUAUCAGGAGGAACACCAAUGGCGAAGGCAGGUCUCUGGGCCAUAACUGACACUGAGGAGCGAAAGUGCGGGGAGCGAACAGGAUUAGAUACCCUGGUAGUCCGCACCGUAAACGGUGGGCACUAGUUGUGGGAACCUUCCACGGUUUCCGCGACGCAGCAAACGCAUUAAGUGCCCCGCCUGGGGAGUACGAUCGCAAGAUUAAAACUCAAAGGAAUUGACGG
rnacentral:rRNA from 1 species